GAUGAACGCUGGCGGCGUGCCUAAUACAUGCAAGUCGAGCGAACAGACGAGGAGCUUGCUCCUCUGACGUUAGCGGCGGACGGGUGAGUAACACGUGGAUAACCUACCUAUAAGACUGGGAUAACUUCGGGAAACCGGAGCUAAUACCGGAUAAUAUAUUGAACCGCAUGGUUCAAUAGUGAAAGACGGUUUUGCUGUCACUUAUAGAUGGAUCCGCGCCGCAUUAGCUAGUUGGUAAGGUAACGGCUUACCAAGGCAACGAUGCGUAGCCGACCUGAGAGGUUGCGCGGCAACACGAGUACUGGAACACGGAACAGACUCAUCAGGAAGGCAGCAGUAGGGAAUCCUCCGCAAUGGGCGCAAGCCUGACGGAACACCGCCGCGCGAGUGAUGAAGGUCUUCGGAUCUUAAAACUCUGUUAUCAGCGAAGAACAAAUGUGUAAGUACCUAUGCACGUCUUGACGGUACCUAAUCAGAAAGCCACGGCUAACUACGUG
rnacentral:rRNA from 1 species